rnacentral:rRNA from 1 species
UACGGAGGGUGCAAGCGUUAUCCGGAUUCACUGGGUUUAAAGGGUGCGUAGGAGGGCAGGUAAGUCAGUGGUGAAAUCUCCAAGCUUAACUUGGAAACUGCCGUUGAUACUAUCUGUCUUGAAUAUUGUGGAGGUGAGCGGAAUAUGUCAUGUAGCGGUGAAAUGCUUAGAUAUGACAUAGAACACCAAUUGCGAAGGCAGCUCGCUACGCAUAUAUUGACUCUGAGGCACGAAAGCGUGGGGAUCAAACAGG